UGUUCCUGACAUACUGAUCAUUCACAUGGAAAUAGUACUGCGGGUUGGAGAACUAGCUACUCACAUUGCUUUGCAUGAAUUCCGAACUGGAACCAAGGAACUUCUCUCCAUAUGCUCCUAACCCAGUUUUAAUUAGACCUGAGCUCGCACCAUAAAAUGGAUUGCCAAAUUGGCCAGGCUGAGGAUUUGCCGAGGGCAUCUGC
rnacentral:sRNA from 1 species